CUUCAGAUCAUCACAUGAAAUGAGAGCGGCACACACCCCGCCACGCGUCUCUUGCCCGGGACUCAGAAACCUCCAUGGACAGGCUGUGACCAAGGGUCAGCUCCCAAGUGGAAAAUGAUUGAGACUCCCAGGUGAGAGACAGAGGCAGGCAAGACUUGUGUCUAUGGCCAGACCUUAACUCGGGCAUGGGCUCUUGCAUUGUCUGCAAGAACUCAGAGGACACACUGGGCUCAAAAUGACCUGGUAAAAGCCACAUUUUUAUAGAGUUCACUAAAAGUUUUGCUCUGAGUCAGGAAGUGGGUAUAAAUAUUGGCAAGCGGAAUCCAGGGUGGGCUAGGCAAUGAGGAAGGGUGAAGUGUUCCUCUCUAGAAAUAGAACAUUUCACGCUUGGCCUGAGCCAGCAAAGGGGUAAUCAGCCCAAAGGCAAAGAGGUGUGCGAAUUCACCCUCAAAUUUCUGGAUGCUCCGAAAAACCAGUGUGGCUCUCUUCCCAGUGGUGGUAUCACCAAUCAAGAAACAUGGGCCAGCAGUAGGAGAUCCUGCCUGUAAUCUCAGCACUUUGGGAAGCCAAGGUGGGAGGAUUGCUUGAGCCCAGGAAUUUAAGACCAGCCUGGGCAACAUAGCAAGACCCCAUCUCUACAAAAUUUUAAAAAUUAGCAAGGUGUGGUGGUAUGCACC
rnacentral:lncRNA from 10 species